UUACAGUUACCACAAUUUUCACAGUGAUCCAGGUUUCAGAACAAGUCUUCAAACCAGAUGCCUUCUGCAGCCUGAUGUUCUACCAAAGUAUCAGGCGACACAUACGCUCAACGGCUUUCUGGAAGUGAUGGGAAUGACACAUACUCAAACGAAGGAUUUCCUACCGUAGAUGAAAGGUAC